GCCGGGAUGGCGGAAUCGGCAGACGCGGCGGAUUCAAAAUCCGCAGUCCGAAAGGGCGUGGGGGUUCAAGUCCCCCUCCCGGCACCA
rnacentral:tRNA from 1 species